GCGCCUGUAGCUCAGCUGGAUAGAGCAUCGGAUUUCUAAUCCGAUGGCCGCAGGUUCGAAUCCUGCCAGGCGCG
rnacentral:tRNA from 1 species